ACUCAAAUGAAUUGACGGGGGCCCGCACAAGCGGUGGAGCAUGUGGUUUAAUUCGACGCAACGCGCAGAACCUUACCAGCCCUUGACAUGCCCGUCGCGAGAUCCAGAGAUGGAUUUCUUCGGUUCGGCCGGACGGUGCACAGGUGCUGCAUGGCUGUCGUCAGCUCGUGUCGUGAGAUGUUGGGUUAAGUCCCGCAACGAGCGCAACCCUCGCCUUCAGUUGCCAUCAUUCAGUUGGGCACUCUGAAGGGACUGCCGGUGACAAGCCGGAGGAAGGUGGGGAUGACGUCAAGUCCUCAUGGCCCUUACGGGCUGGGCUACACACGUGCUACAAUGGCGGUGACAAUGGGCAGCAAUGGGGCAACCCGGCGCAAAUCUCAAAAAACCGUCUCAGUUCGGAUUGCACUCUGCAACUCGAGUGCAUGAAGUCGGAAUCGCUAGUAAUCGCGCAACAGCAUGGCGCGGUGAAUACGUUCCCGGGCCUUGUACACACCGCCCGU
rnacentral:rRNA from 1 species